rnacentral:lncRNA from 1 species
GAGGGAGGAAAAAGAAAGCCGAUCGUGAUGGAAGCCCGUUGCUGUGCUGCUACUACCGUCCACAACUCCAUGCAGGGCUGAUAUUCUCACUAGGGCCGGAUGCAGCCCUAAUAAAGGGCCAAGGAUUUUAUAUUUUGAUUUCUAUUCUUGGAGUUGUAUAAACCUUAUUUUGCUUCUAAUGAAUAUUUUAUCUCAUCUCAUAUUUAAUUUCUAUGAUUUUAAAUAUGACGUUUAUACAAUUGUUCUUCAUGAUCACUAGGUAAAUAUAAGAUAGUCCAUGCUUAAGGAAGAUGCGAUGUGCUGCCACCUUAGAU